rnacentral:lncRNA from 1 species
UGUACAAUAUAGCAAUGGGUGGAGGUUUUGCCAUUCGUUUUUGAAUGGGUGAGGAGGAAGAACUAACUCGUAAGAGUAAGCGAUUGUUCAGUGAACCAUGUUCUGAUUUCUCCUAGCACUUAUUUUUGGGAGUUUGGGCACUCUGCUAUUAUCGCUCUUGGAUUUUAAAAGGUCUUGCAAUUUGACUUUACCAACUAGUUUUGAAAACCAUUUAUCUAGUUCUUAUAUCUAUGUCCAGUUGCCUAAUUGUUUAGCGGAGAAAGUUAUUUUAUUCCUUGUUUGGUACCUUAUUUUGUGUUCUUUUAAAUAUCGAAAAAUUGGUCAGGGCUAGUUGUUUUGGUAUGCUGUGAUAUUCUGGAAGGCAAACUGUGUUUGGAAGGAAGAUUUUGGGGGUUUGGUGCAUGAUAAA